rnacentral:rRNA from 1 species
GUGAGGAAUAUUGGUCAAUGGACGGAAGUCUGAACCAGCCAUGCCGCGUGCAGGAAUAAGGUCCUAUGGAUUGUAAACUGCUUUUAUUCGGGAAUAAACCUCUUUACGUGUAGGGAGCUGAAGGUACCGAAGGAAUAAGCACCGGCUAACUCCGUGCCAGCAGCCGCGGUAAUACGGAGGGUGCAAGCGUUAUCCGGAAUCAUUGGGUUUGAAGGGUCCGCAGGCGGGCUAUCAAGUCAUAGGUGAAAUCCCACAGCUUAACUGUGGAACUGCCUUUGAAACUGAUGGGCUUUAAUUAAAUGGGCGUUGGCGGAAUAUGACAUCUAGCGGUGAAAUUCAUAGAUAUGUCAUGGAACACCGAAAGCGAAGGCAGCUAACGAUACUUAUAUUGACGCUCAUGGACGAAAGCGUGGGUAGCGAACAGGAUUAGAAACCCUGGUAGUCC